rnacentral:rRNA from 1 species
CCUACGGGGGGCAGCAGUGAGGAAUAUUGGUCAAUGGCCGGAAGGCUGAACCAGCCAUGCCGCGUGAAGGUCAGUGCCCUAUGGGCGUUAAACUUCUUUUGUGCGGGAGCAAUAAUGGUCACGUGUGGCCAGACGAGAGUACCGUACGAAUAAGCAUCGGCUAACUCCGUGCCAGCAGCCGCGGUAAUACGGGGGAUGCAAGCGUUAUCCGGAUUUAUUGGGUUUAAAGGGUGCGUAGGCUGUGAGGUAAGUCAGCGGUGAAAUGCCCCCGCUCAACGGGGUGAAGUGCCAUUGAUACUGCCUUGCUGGAAUGCGGAUGCGGUGGGAGGAAUGUGUGGUGUAGCGGUGAAAUGCAUAGAUAUCACACAGAACACCGAUUGCGAAGGCAGCUCACGAAGCCGCGAUUGACGCUGAUGCACGAAAGCGUGGGUAUCAAACAGGAUUAGAUACCCCUGUAGUC